CCCAUAGUCUAAGCAGUUUGGUUACAUGCAUUAUUCUGUUGAGGCGAGAAAACUGAACUUGCUGUUACAAUCUGGCUAGCUUAGUGACACGACAUUUGAAGAUGACACAAAAGUUAAGAACAAACCAGUUAGUCGGAUUUGUAGUAAGUAUAAUCGUACUGCUACUGAUUGUGAGCUACGCCUUACAGCAAAGAAACACUGUAUUGGUUGAGGAACAGUUCGAUACAAGGAACGUUCAGGUACACCAAUACAACAGAGCCAGACAGGAUCGAUUGACC